rnacentral:rRNA from 1 species
GGUUAAGUCCCGCAACGAGCGCAACCCUCGUUCCAUGUUGCCAGCACGUCGUGGUGGGGACUCAUGGGAGACUGCCGGGGUCAACUCGGAGGAAGGUGAGGACGACGUCAAAUCAUCAUGCCCCUUAUGUCUUGGGCUUCACGCAUGCUACAAUGGCCGGUACAAUGGGUUGCGAUACUGUGAGGUGGAGCUAAUCCCAAAAAGCCGGUCUCAGUUCGGAUUGGGGUCGUGCAACUCGACCCCACUGAAGUCGGAGUCGCUAGUAAUCGCAGACCAGCAACGCUGCGGUGAAUACGUUCCCGGGCCGUUGUACACACCGCAGUCGACGCGGCCGACGUCGUGGGAGG